rnacentral:hammerhead_ribozyme from 1 species
UUCCAGCUGACGAGUCUCGAAUGGGACAAAACAUGCGUCCUGGAU